ACGGGAGGCAGCAGUGAGGAAUAUUGGACAAUGGAUGGAAGUCUGAUCCAGCCAUGCCGCGUGAAGGAUUGAUGCCCUACGGGUUUUGAACUUCUUUUGUACGGGGGCAAUAAGGGCCACGCGUGGCCCGAUGAGAGUACCGUACGAAUAAGCAUCGGCUAACUCCGUGCCAGCAGCCGCGGUAAUACGGAGGAUGCAAGCGUUAUCCGGAUUUAUUGGGUUUAAAGGGUGCGUAGGCUGUGGUCCAAGUCAGGGGUGAAAGCCCGGAGCUCAACUCCGGAACUGCCUUUGAUACUGGAUUGCUGGAAUACGGAUGCCGUGGGAGGAAUGAGUAGUGUAGCGGUGAAAUGCAUAGAUAUUACUCAGAACACCGAUUGCGAAGGCAUCUCACGAAUCCGUCAUUGACGCUGAGGCACGAAAGCGUGGGGAUCAAACAGGAUUAGAUACCCUGGUA
rnacentral:rRNA from 1 species